rnacentral:lncRNA from 1 species
CCCUGAACAUAACCAACAUGUUUGCUUAUAUAUUACAAGUGUCUCACCACAAAAUUAAUUUGACAAAUUAUUGGGUCUAUUAAUUUCGUUUAUGUAGCCUGUGAUAUGGAGUACUAAUCUUCAUGAUCAGAGUACAAUAAUCAAUGCAUUCAACUAAAUUUCAUGAUAAAAUUUUACUUACGUAGGGAGUAUUUUGUUUUAUCUUAAAAAAUAUUUGAAAAUAUCAUAACAAAGAACAGAAAUUUUUUGCCCUCAUAACUAACAAUAUAAUACUUGAAAACAAAAUUGUAGAAACAAACCUUUUGCUUCCUGCCUGAGGCAUCAACGCCGUCUCUCAAGCUCAUGCUUCCAUUAAUUCCUAAUGACAAAACCAAAUGGUAGCACUUUAUAAUCAACAGAUAGAAGAAACAACAUAUGGGAGAAUAUAUACAACCCAAAACACGAUAUAGAAGGUAAAAAUGAAAUCAGUCAAAACUGGGGUUCAUUAAAGAGCUGACUGAAAAGGAUUAAAAACACCCCUACUCUAUGCAAAAUAUCUUAAUUUUAUCUUCCGUUAUACUUUGUAUAUAUUCAUACCUUCGUCGUUAGGUAAUCAUCUCAUAUUAACCUAUGACCCUAAUGGAGUCCCCCCAACCUAAAGUAUACAGGAGGACAGGGGUGUUCAAAUCGAAUCGGAAAAUCACACCAAACCGAGAAGUCAAAUCAAACCGGUUAAAAAAACUGAUUAAGUUUGGUUUGAUUUGGUCUGGUAUUAAGUAAAAAAAUUCGAACCAACCCGACAUAUAAAUAUAUUUUUAUAUAUACUUUUAAGAUUUUGUAUAGAAUUUUUAAAUAAAAAUAUCUACAAAUAUGUAGGAACCUCUCAUGAAAUAUAAUAGUAUUUAAUAGAAGUAUGAAGUGCAUCCAUUUUUAUUUAGUUUAAAUAAUAGUGUAUCAUCAUUUUCUUAUCAAGUGUUAUUGAAAUGCGUAAAUAUCUUUGUUUUUCCAUAAUCAUAUGUCAAGAUCUGUUAAAUUCUUAUAUCUUUUUCGAAUUUCAAAUGGCAUUUUGAUCAUUUUAAAAUGAAAUAGAACUUAUCAUCAUAGGUUUCAUAUUGAUUUUUAUGUUUAGUUAUUAAAUUCGGUUAACCUUAAAAGUGUACAUCAAUGGAAAAUUAUUGUUAAACGACUAAGAAAAUAAAAUCCAUAUGUCACUAAAAAAUUCUCCCAUAACAAUAUUUUAAUGAUUCAUAUCUUUGUCAGUUAUUUCAACUAAUACUAAACAUAUAUUUAUUUAUCAAAACUUUAUUUAUAACUUUAACAAAAUAAGAUUGAAAUAAUAUUUAUGUAACAAAAAAAUCCGAAAAACCGACAAAACUGAACCAACCCAAAUCGAUAUAGUUGGUUUGAUUUGGUUUUGAUAAAAACCGAACUGACCCGGUCCAUGUACAUCCCUACCGGAGAAUAAUUUUAAACCAUAAUUAAAUCCGCUGGUUAAAUUUGGAGCUUUUACAAAAAUAUUUUAACAUGCGGAAUUAUCCCUGUUAACACUAACAAUACGAAAUAAUUUACUAACGGUAAGGAUAUGAAUAGCUCCAAGUACAAUAAAUAAUAAUAUUAAGAUACUUUGUAUAGUACUAGGGUCGAUUUGGACCUUUUCCCAAGAGAUUGACGAAUUUUCAUGUUUACUUACGGAUUCACAAAAAAUUCAUAAUCUACAACUAUUAAAAUAAUUAUAUAUUCUACAACAUAAAAAUGAUCUAUAAAAAUGUACCCUAAUAUAAGGAUGAGUACCUGUAAAAAGGCGUCUGAUCGUGAAAAGUAUCCAUAAUUAGUCUCUUAAAAUUCUCAAUUUUAUUAAUUAUAAAUUAUUACUAUAAAUGCUUUAGUUUAUCAUGAUAACACUAUCUCAUAACCACAAUGGAUCCCCAAAAAAAUACAUUGUAUCCUUCAUUAAAAUAGGUUCUCCAUCUUGGGAUUCUUUGGUUCUUUCAAUUUCAUUGUCCACCUUGGUAAACUUAUAGUAGGAAUAUUUUUCUACAGUCAAUUCAUCUUCGCAGCAUCAUUUUAAUUAGAGAAAAUCAAUCUUCAAGAAAUAUGAUGAGUUAUUAUGUUUAACAAUUAUAUAUUAUAUAACAUAUAAUACACAAUAUGUAAAACAUAUAUAUCAUAUAUUAUAUGUAAUUAUACAAUAUACAAACGUUAAUUAACACUUUAAAAUCCAAUAUAGAACAAUUUUAUUACAGUUUACCUUUAAUUUAUUAUAAUGUAUACACAUAUAUAAGUAUAUAAUAUCCUAUAUAUAAUAUAUAAUAUAUUACUAUAUAUUGUUACUGUAUUUAAUUAUAGUAAUUGUAGGGAGAAGUCAAAUUGGGUGAUUAAGAAAUAUACUGUAAAGGAGUAUGAAGAAAGGUAUCAGCAUUUUGUAGGGGGUGGAGGGAGGACGGGGGUGACAUUAUUUUCUACACAUUCGGGGACGACUUAUAUCUAUGUAAAAGGGAGGAAAGCGGCUAGGGACAUGGGGAUAUACUCGAAUUUUUUAAUGGAGAAAUUGGUGGGAAGUUAAUACGGAUAGAUACAUUUUAGGUGAGACAGAAUCUCAGAUACAUUUUAGGUGAGAGAAUCUCAAGGGAGAUAUUAGGGAUAUAAGUUAUAGAUUUUAAAAUAAAUUGUAUUUAAUGUAAUUUUUUAAAAGUAAUUAUAACUUGUGUAAAUAAGUUAUAUUAUAUGUAAAUUAUAACACAUAAUUUUUUUUUAUUAUUAUUAUUUUUUUAUUUUAUUUUUUUUUACAAUUAGGUCACCUAAGAAUCUAGAAGAAUUAACCUAAAUAGCCGUCAACCAAACCGCUCAAGUGUUUAAUUUAUGUAUACCGUCUAGAAAAAGUAGACUAUGAAUCUGGCGGACUAUUUGCGUAAAAAUCCAUAAAAUCUAAGUAAAGUAAUUAACUUUAAUAACAAACAUGGAUUAGUAAGAUGUAAAACAUGAUAAGAACCUCUUACAAUAGAUAAAAUUGAACCAAUAAUGUAAAAGUUGCAAUAGUAUUGGUGUAUAUAAUUAAGUUAAAGUCGGAGUUAAAGAAUCGAAGGAAGAAAUAUAUAUAUAUAUACCGUAAGGCUUGUCAGUCUUAAGCUUCUUGACACCACUGGCUUGAACUCUGAAGGAAGAAGAAGACCUAGCAAGUGAUGGCAGUCCUUUCACUGCUGUCUUCUCCACACUGAAAGGUGCAGGUUUGAGGCU